UUUUCUUGCUAUAAUUUCUCUGAAAUAAGUAAAUUCCCUGUCUAUCUCAUCCUUCUUUCGAUUCAAGUAAUCCUUUCACGCUUUUUGUAAGCUUCUACUGGUAUGAUUUAAUUUAUUUAUUGAUCCACAAACAUGUUGGCAUACAAUUAUGUUACACAAUGAUGAGAUAUGUAUAAUGAUGACAAACUAAAUACUAACAGUUCAUAUGCAUAUUUGUAAAGACGUUUAUAUAUAUUUGGCAUGUACAUAUGACGUCAAACUGUUUAUAUAAUUUAGUAUUGCAUGUAUAACAUUAGCAACCAAUAAUUUAUUACAAAAUUUGUGCUCAUUUUUUUAUUCCCGGACAAGGCCAAUCUCUAAAGCUUACAAAAAGUGUGAAACGAUUACAGUACUGUAAAAAUCGAAAAAGAAAUGAGUUAGACCGGUAAUCAACACAUUUCAGAUUUAUCGCUGCAAAAAAUAUUUUUCAAAAAUGGGGGUUGGGGGCGCUAUUAUCAGUGUAUCAGGUAUCUGUGGUAAUAUCUUGUACAAAUGCACGUGUAACUACAUUAAUUUUGAUGCUCUAGGUUUACAGUCACAUUUAAUUUUAUCAAGUGACAUACUAGAAAAAAAAUAAACUUGGGAUAUUUUCACUUACAUUACAGUUUGAAUAAAUGGAAGAAAAAUAAAAGACCCUGAAUGCAUACUGAUUGCCCACAUUUUUUAUGUGUAUUUGAGACCCUUCUUUAAUACAUUGAAUGUUUGCGGCAUACGUAUUUAUAAAAUGAGAUAAUGCUAUUUAAAGAUGUGCAUGAUACCAACAAGAAUGUGAACUUUUCAAAGAGCAUGAUAUUUCCAAUUUUCCACAUCUCUAGACCAGUGACCACAAAUGUACAUACAAGUACCCACAGAUGACAGCCGUAUUGACUCCAGUAGAUAAUAUUCAUCUCCAUCAGCUGGUCACUACGCUGUACAUAGUGGUCAAACCAGGAUAUCCACUGAUUGCAUUCAGUGAUGUGAAUUGUCAUCUAGAUUUGUGCUUAUGAACUUUAGUAAACUGUCAAGUUUUAAUAUGAAGAAAAUGACUGCUGAAAAAGCAUCUAAUCUUGUGUUCUAUGAAUGUUUUCAAUUAAACACAAAACAAAA